rnacentral:rRNA from 1 species
GAUGAACGCUGGCGGCGUGCCUAAUACAUGCAAGUCGAGCGAACAGACGAGGAGCUUGCUCCUCUGACGUUAUCGGCGGACGGGUGAGUAACACGUGGAUAACCUACCUAUAAGACUGGGAUAACUUCGGGAAACCGGAGCUAAUACCGGAUAAUAUAUUGAACCGCAUGGUUCAAUAGUGAAAGACGGUUUUGCUGUCACUUAUAGAUGGAUCCGCGCCGCAUUAGCUAGUUGGUAAGGUAACGGCUUACCAAGGCAACGAUGCGUAGCCGACCUGAGAGGGUGAUCGGCCACACUGGAACUGAGACACGGUCCAGACUCCUACGGGAGGAAGCAGUAGGGAAUCUUACGCAAUGGGCGAAAGCUUGACGGAGCAACGCCGCGUGAGUGAUGAAGGUCUUCGGCUCGUAAAACUCUGUUAUUAGGGAAGAACAAAUGUGUAAGUACCUAUGCACGUCUUGACGGUACCUAAUCAGAAAGCCACGGCUAACUACGUG